CCUACGGGAGGCAGCAGUGGGGAAUUUUCCGCAAUGGGCGAAAGCCUGACGGAGCAAUACCGCGUGAGGGAAGACUGCCUAUGGGUUGUAAACCUCUUUUUUCAGGGAGGAAUCAAUGACGUGUGCCUGAAGAAUAAGCAUCGGCUAACUCCGUGCCAGCAGCCGCGGUAAGACGGAGGAUGCAAGUGUUAUCCGGAAUCACUGGGCGUAAAGCGUCUGUAGGUGGUUUAAUAAGUCAACUGUUAAAUCUUGAGGCUCAACUUCAAAAUCGCAGUCGAAACUAUUAGACUAGAGUAUAGUAGAGGUAAAGGGAAUUUCCAGUGGAGCGGUGAAAUGCGUAGAUAUUGGAAAGAACACCGAUGGCGAAAGCACUUUACUGGGCUAUUACUAACACUCAGAGACGAAAGCUAGGGUAGCAAAUGGGAUUAGAUACCCCAGUAGUCCUAGCCGUAAACAAUGGAUACUAGAUGUUGAACAGAUCGACCUGUGCAGUAUCAAAGCUAACGCGUUAAGUAUCCCGCCUGGGAAGUAUGCUCGCAAGAGUGAAACUCAAAUGAAUUGACGG
rnacentral:rRNA from 1 species